GUUGAGGUAGUCGAGGUGGUCCAAAGCACUCGAUAUUAAGGUCGUCUUCCGAGAGGGCGCGGGUUCGAACCCACUCUCGGCA
rnacentral:tRNA from 1 species